GGUUGGCCAGACGGUCGCGUUAAUGCUGUGGUGGCAUUACCGAGGAAAGUCCGAGCUUCAAGAGAACUGGGUGCCGGUUAACUGCCGGUGAAGGUAACUUUAAGGAAAGUGCAACAGAAAAUUACCGCCCGCUUAUGUGGGUAAGGUUGAAAAGGUGUGUGUAAGAGACCACCGACCCUUUGGUAACAAAGGGUGCCAUGUAAACCCCACCUGAAGCAAGGUUAAAAAAGGCAAUAGCGCUUGUUCUCUCGCGCCUUUUAAAAGCACCGCUUGACUAUUAUGGAGACAUAAUAGCUAGAUAGAUGACCGUUUAAUACAGAACUCGGCUUACAGACCAGCCUU
rnacentral:RNase_P_RNA from 1 species